GGUAAAUUUCAUGUAAAGCUAAAUACCUGCCAGAGACCGAUAGCGCACAAGUAGAGUGAUCGAAAGAUGAAAAGCACUUUGAAAAGAGAGUCAAACAGUACGUGAAAUUGUUGAAAGGGAAGGGGUUGCAAUCAGACUCGUUUGCAGAAGUUCAGCCUUCUUUCGAGAUGGUGUAUUCUUCUGUCAACGGGCCAGCAUCAGUUUCGGCGGUUGGAUAAAGACUUUGAGAACGUAUCUCUCCUCGGAGAGUGUUAUAGCUCGGAGUGUAAUGCAGCAGCUGAGACUGAG
rnacentral:rRNA from 1 species